ACUCCUACGGGAGGCAGCAGUGGGGAAUAUUGCACAAUGGGCGCAAGCCUGAUGCAGCAACGCCGCGUGAGUGAUGAAGGCCUUCGGGUCGUAAAGCUCUGUCCUCAAGGAAGAAUAAAUAGACGGUACUUGAGGAGGAAGCCCCGGCUAACUACGUGCCAGCAGCCGCGGUAAUACGUAGGGGGCGAAGCGUUAUCCGGAAUCACUGGGCGUAAAGGGUGCGUAGGCGGUUUUUCAAGUCAGAAGUGAAAGGCUAUGGCUCAACCAUAGUAAGCUUUUGAAACUGUUAAACUUGAGUGCAGGAGAGGAAAGUGGAAUUCCUAGUGU
rnacentral:rRNA from 1 species